rnacentral:rRNA from 1 species
CAGUCGCCGCGGGAAUACAGAGGGUGCAAGCGUUAAUCGGAAUUACUGGGCGUAAAGCGCGCGUAGGUGGUUUGUUAAGUUGGAUGUGAAAUCCCCGGGCUCAACCUGGGAACUGCAUCCAAAACUGGCAAGCUAGAGUAUGGUAGAGGGUGGUGGAAUUUCCUGUGUAGCGGUGAAAUGCGUAGAUAUAGGAAGGAACACCAGUGGCGAAGGCGACCACCUGGACUGAUACUGACACUGAGGUGCGAAAGCGUGGGGAGCAAACAGGAUUAGAUACCCCAGUAGUCCCUGUCUCUUAUAA